rnacentral:rRNA from 1 species
UACGUAGGGGGCAAGCGUUGUCCGGAAUCAUUGGGCGUAAAGAGCGUGUAGGUGGCUCGGUAAGUCCGCUGUGAAAGUCCAGGGCUCAACCCUGGAAAGCCGGUGGAAACUGUCGAGCUAGAGUCCGGAAGAGGCGAGUGGAAUUCCUGGUGUAGCGGUGAGAUGCGCAGAUAUCGGGAGGAACACCGGUGGCGAAGGCGGUUCUCUGGGCCUGUACUGACGCUGAGGAGCGAAAGCGUGGGGAGCGAACAGG